rnacentral:rRNA from 1 species
GACGAACGCUGGCGGCGUGCUUAACACAUGCAAGUCGAACGGAGUGGCGAACGGGUGAGUAACCCGUGGGUGAUCUGCCUUGCACUUCGGGAUAAGCUUGGGAAACUGGGUCUAAUACCGGAUAUUGCAGGAUGAGCGCGCGACCUAUCGGCUUGUUGGUGGGGUAAUGGCCGACCAAGGCGUCGACGGUUAGCCGGCCUGAGAGGGUGGACGGCCACAUUGGGACUGAGAUACGGCCCAGAGUGCUACGGGAGGCAGCAGUGGGGAAUAUUGCACAAUGGGCGGAAGUCUGAUGCAGCGACGCCGCGUGGGGGAUGAAGGCCUUCGGGUUGUAAACUCCUUGCGACAGGGACGCGGUACCUGUAUAAGAAGCACCGGCUAACUACGUGCCAGCAGCCGCGGUAAUUC